rnacentral:rRNA from 1 species
AAUGAACGCUGGCGGCAUGCCUAACACAUGCAAGUCGAACGAAGGCUUCGGCCUUAGUGGCGCACGGGUGCGUAACGCGUGGGAAUCUACCCUUAGGUUCGGAAUAACAGUUGGAAACGACUGCUAAUACCGGAUGAUGACGUAAGUCCAAAGAUUUAUCGCCUAGGGAUGAGCCCGCGUAGGAUUAGCUAGUUGGUGUGGUAAAGGCGCACCAAGGCGACGAUCCUUAGCUGGUCUGAGAGGAUGAUCAGCCACACUGGGACUGAGACACGGCCCAGACUCCUACGGGAGGCAGCAGUGGGGAAUAUUGGACAAUGGGCGAAAGCCUGAUCCAGCAAUGCCGCGUGAGUGAUGAAGGCCUUAGGGUUGUAAAGCUCUUUUACCCAGGAUGAUAAUGACAGUACCGGGAGAAUAAGCUCCGGCUAACUCCGUG